rnacentral:rRNA from 1 species
GACGAACGCUGGCGGCGUGCUUAACACAUGCAAGUCGAACGGAAAGGCCCUGCUUUUGUGGGGUGCUCGAGUGGCGAACGGGUGAGUAACACGUGAGUAACCUGCCCUUGACUUUGGGAUAACUUCAGGAAACUGGGGCUAAUACCGGAUAGGAGCUCCUGCUGCAUGGUGGGGGUUGGAAAGUUUCGGCGGUUGGGGAUGGACUCGCGGCUUAUCAGCUUGUUGGUGGGGUAGUGGCUUACCAAGGCUUUGACGGGUAGCCGGCCUGAGAGGGUGACCGGCCACAUUGGGACUGAGAUACGGCCCAGACUCCUACGGGAGGCAGCAGUGGGGAAUAUUGCACAAUGGGCGGAAGCCUGAUGCAGCAACGCCGCGUGCGGGAUGACGGCCUUUGGGUUGUAAACCGCUUUCGCCUGUGACGAAGCGUGAGUGACGGUAGUGGGUAAAGAAGCACCGGCUAACUACGUG